rnacentral:rRNA from 1 species
AAUCAACGCUGGCGGCGUGCCUCAGACAUGCAAGUCGAACGCGAAAGUCCCCUUCGGGGGGCAAGUAGAGUGGCGCACGGGUGAGUAACACGUAGGUAAUCUACCUUUGGAUGGGAUAACACCGGAACGUUGCUAAUACCGCAUAAUGCAGCGGCACCUAAUGGUGACAGUUGUUAAAGCGGGGGAUCGAAAGACCUCGCGUCUGAAGAGGAGCCUGCGGCGGAUUAGCUAGNGGUAAGGUACGGCUUACCAAGGCGACGAUCCGUAGCCGGCCUGAGAGGGCGGUCGGCCACACUGACACUGACAUACGGGUCAGACUCC